CCCUUGUGUUACUUUUUCUUGCAAUUUUUAUACAAUAAAUAUGUAGUCUGAGCUUUAGAAGCAAAGCAAAGUGAAGUUAACACCUUCAGGUCAGUGGCUAUAGCUGAGGGGUACAGUGCUUGAGUACAUGCCCUAGGCCCUGUUUUGGAGCCUCAAAUUUGUGCUAAUAUGUAUAGCAGUUUUGUGCUUAGAAAGUUCCUAAUUUGAUGCCCUAGGCCCUGGUUUGGAGCCUCAAAUUUGUGCUAAUAUGUAUAGUAGUUUUGUGCUUAGAAGGUUCCUAAUUUGUAAUAUUGUGAGGACUAUCCAGGUAGUAAAUCUAGUAAUUUCAGGAUGGAAAUUUAGAAAUGAAUUCAUGAGCUUUAUAAUGAUAUCAGAGUAUUGUGUUGAAAUGAUUUAAUUACUAUUAUUAGUAUUGUGUGUAUGUGUGUAUAUAUUUAUAUAUUUGUAUUGUAUAGCAAGGUUUUUCUGUAGAGAGAAACCCCUGUAAAUCCUCAUAGUCAGAGAUCUGUAAUAUCCACACAACACUGCUUAUCAAGGGUUAGGGCAAGGGAAUCUGAGGUUUGAAUAAAGAUAAGACAAUGGGUCAUUCUUUCCAGGAGAAUGCACUUUAUUACAAAGGGGAGGAGACUUAUAUACCAUAGCAGCCACAGUAGAAGAGUACUCAAGUCAGGGUUCAUGCCCCCAAGCCCUUGGGCAAUGGGCUGAUAGUUUGCAUUCUUGCCUACAGGCCUAGUCUGAAGGAGGGACCAAGGAAGUAAAUCCCAGUCAGGAGAUGACCAGCAGACCCCAAAGGGGUCCCAACAGAGAUCCUCUUGCCUCUGCCUCUGGAAGGCUGAGAUUAAAGAUUUGGAACCUAAGAUGUAACCUCAGAGCACAAGACAAUCCUAUGUCAGGAGUAAGGCCUGGAGUGGAGCGCUGCUGGGAGAAGAAGAAACUCAAGGCUCCAUCAUCAGCUGGUCACUGACUUCUUCAAAAAUGAGGAUGCCUGAGGGAGACUGGAAAGGCGGGAGCAGGCAGGUGUGUGACUGGUGUCUUCAUUGCAGUGGGUCAACACUGCCAUCGUGCGGAAAAGCCUUCAGACAUACCUUGCACAUUCAGAAGCCGCUUCCCCAGGGCUGCUUGCAGCCGUUUUGGAGCAAUCGCCAUCAGGAAUCGCUUCUUGCGCCAUGGCUAAGAAUCAUGGGAAGGAGGCUCAGUGGUGCUGUGAGUUUUUUGAAACUCUGUCCGCACGAUGGCGGUAGAGCUCCAGGAAUGAUCCUGUGA
rnacentral:lncRNA from 1 species